UACGUAGGGGGCAAGCGUUGUCCGGAAUUAUUGGGCGUAAAGAGCGCGUAGGCGGUCCGGUAAGUCGGUUGUGAAAGUCGGGGGCUCAACCCUCGGAUGCCGAUCGAUACUGUCGGGCUAGAGUCCGGAAGAGGCGAGUGGAAUUCCUGGUGUAGCGGUGAAAUGCGCAGAUAUCAGGAGGAACACCGGUGGCGAAGGCGGGUCUCUGGGCCGAUAUUGACGCUGAGGAGCGAAAGUGUGGGGAGCGAACAGG
rnacentral:rRNA from 1 species